GGGGAAUAUUGCACAAUGGGCGAAAGCCUGAUGCAGCAACGCCGCGUGAGUGAUGAAGGUCUUCGGAUUGUAAAGCUCUGUCUUUUGGGACGAUAAUGACGGUACCAAAGGAGGAAGCCACGGCUAACUACGUGCCAGCAGCCGCGGUAAUACGUAGGUGGCGAGCGUUGUCCGGAUUUACUGGGCGUAAAGGGUGCGUAGGCGGAUGUUUAAGUGAGAUGUGAAAUACCCGGGCUUAACUUGGGUGCUGCAUUUCAAACUGGAUAUCUAGAGUGCAGGAGAGGAGAAUGGAAUUCCUAGUGUAGCGGUGAAAUGCGUAGAGAUUAGGAAGAACACCAGUGGCGAAGGCGAUUCUCUGGACUGUAACUGACGCUGAGGCACGAAAGCGUGGGUAGCAAACAGGAUUAGAUACCCUGGUAGUCCACGCCGUAAACGAUGAGUACUAGGUGUAGGAGGUAUCGAC
rnacentral:rRNA from 1 species